CCUGGUUAUCAAAAACAUNNCCCUUUGGNCCCAUUUAAAGUCUGGCCUGCCCACUGAUANUUGAAGGGCCGCGGUAUUUUGACCGUGCAAAGGUAGCAUAAUCAUUAGUUUCUUAAUUAGAAGCUGGAAUGAAUGGUUGGAUGAAAAAAUUACUGUUUCAAUUUUAUUAAUUAUGAAUUUUAUUUUUAAGUAAAAAAGCUUAAAUUAAAUUAAAAGACGAGAAGACCCUAUAGAUUUUUAUAAAUUUAUUAGUUAGAAUUUUUAGAAAAAAUAUUUUUAAUUAGUAGUUUUAUUUAAUUGGGGUGAUUGAAAAAUUAAAAUAACUUUUUUAAGUUUGUUACAUUAUUAAUUGAAAUUGAUGAUCCAUUAUUUAUGAUUAAAAGAUUAAAUUACCUUAGGGAUAACAGCGUAA
rnacentral:rRNA from 1 species